rnacentral:rRNA from 1 species
UACGAAGGGUGCAAGCGUUACUCGGAAUUACUGGGCGUAAAGGGCGCGUAGGCGGCCUACUAAGUCGGACGUGAAAUCCCUCGGCUCAACCGGGGAACUGCGUCCGAUACUGGUGGGCUCGAAUCCGGGAGAGGGAUGUGGAAUUCCAGGUGUAGCGGUGAAAUGCGUAGAUAUCUGGAGGAAUACCGGUGGCGAAGGCGGCAUCCUGGACCAUAACUGACGCUGAGGCGCGAAAGCUAGGGGAGCAAACGGG